CAGGCUCGGUGGCCCUAACUCAGCCCUGGGCUCAUUGCUUCUCAGCAGGCUCAGUGGCCGUAACUGAGUUCUGGGCUCAUUACUCAUCUGAUGAGCAACUUGGACUUUGUCCUUAUUAAAUUCAGAACAGGAGUGAACUGGGCAGACCAAGCUGGCCUUCUGCUUUCUGAGUCAGCCUCUGCUAGUGGGACCCUGGGUCUAUAGCCCCCUCAGCAGGGCUCAGCCUUCAUCUUUCUUGUCAGAAGCUCAGCUUGUGGGUUUGGGCCCUGGGCCGCUGUUGGUUUCUCUUCGUGGCAGUGGCGGUUUCCAGGUUGACUGCUGACGGACUUGGCUCCUCCACGCUCAGGCAGGUUGCUGGACCAGCACCCACAGAGAUGGUAUUGGAGCCUCCAAAGUCACUGGCUGAAGUCCACCCCAGCUAAGGUGAGGACACAGUGGAGACACCGUCUAUGAACCAAGAUCAAGCCCUUACCUGACACUGAGUCUGCUGGUACCUUCAUCUUGGACUUCUGGUCUCAGCCCUGUGGAGUUUGGUGAUAGCAGGGUGAGAUGACAAGAAGCAUAUUUUACGUUGUAAGUGACAGAGGGGGAAAAAACCUGGCUUGAAAAUACAGGCUUAGACAAGGGAGUUCUGCAGAGACUCAGAACCAUGUAACUCCCAGUUACUGGGGUCGGCACCAGUUGCCCCCCUUCCCGCUUUCUAGCACCUGGACUAGAUCAGACACUUCGUCACCUAACUCGCACGGCUAGCCGCUGGUAGCAGCAUGAUGAAAAUUACUUACGGACGUUACUGUGACUUCAGCAUCCACGUCUCCAGCUGGACAGCAGCUCCUUAGGGCGUUGCUGGUACCCAACACACAGUGGGGACUUUAUAAACGUUGUGAACAUCAUGCCCCAACUCAUCAACUGCUUCUAACAUGAUUUUCUUUAAAAAACACAGACUUCUUUUCAUCCUCACCUUGAAGCUUGCUAUUACUGAAUUAUCACAAAUUCCCAUGAGACCAUCCAACAACCAGAGGAAUUAUUUGAAAACACUAUAUCCAUUUUGUGAGUUUUUCAGCUCGCAUAGACAAUGUAUUUCCCUAAAACUUUGCUCUAACUCUGCAUUUCAUUUGGAGCUAUUUUUCAACAUGGCAUCUGAAGUCACUUUUCUGCCUCUGGGUUGGGUGAUUCUGAGCUUCCAUUAUCUUCAGGCUGAAGUGGGAUAAUUUGUCAGCUUGGUGAUUUGAGGAUGGGUUCUACCUGGCUAUGUGCUCUCUCUGCUGAAUGCUGGACUGACCCAUCUCUGUCCUCCUCCCACAUGGCAGGUCCCAUCAGGGUCUGGGCUUGCUCCUGGUGAGCAAGUUAAAGUAAUCAGAGCAGUUGUAGGAAAAACUAAACUCUGCCAGAAGGAGCCACACGUAGAAGAGUUCCCUCCCCCGUAUCAUGGAGUUGGGACACAGGGGGGGUUUGAGACGCACCAGAGCAAGUCUCUGAGAGUACUCUGAGCUUGACAGCAAGCGUGACACCUGGCCAGGUGAGAAGACAAGCCAGGGUAGCACUGAUGUGGCCCACUUGCUGGUUUUUAUGUUUGGCAUCAUUGAAUUUUCCAUUCCUUUCAUUAGUUCUGACCAAAGACACCAAAUGGAAUUCCCCAAAGGCCCGUCUCCCUAUCUACAGGUGGGGGCUCCUGGGUGGGGACAUGAGGGGCCUCUGGGUGGCCUGUGCCC